AGGUACCGGGGUGUAUACGGGAGGGAUGUUGCCCGGGUAUGCCGGCUGUUGGCUCGUAGACUGCGGCAGCUCGUGGUUUUCGUACUGAAAAUACAUCAGCAAACGUAAAGACGAGAUUGAUAGACUGUGCUUGCCGUAAAGUCACUAAAGUCGCAGCCCGACGCUGAACUGGUGUCUCUGUACUAGACAGCCCCCACUAACGCAUUAGACUGGAAAACUGCAACACUGAUUCUACUGUUGCCGGGUACAGAGAGCAGCACUCAAACACGGCCGCAAGCAAAAGCAAAAUAGCAAGCAAAAUAAUAAACGAUAAAGCUUUAAAUUCAAUAAUUUGAUACGAAAGCUAGCAAAGGGGCCAAGUUACCGAGUUACGGUACGGAUGAAAGGUGAAGACAUUUCGGUAACGAGUCGUGCAGGUGGUAGGCUGCUGUCAACCCCCACCCCCCAACCCUCCCUGAAUUGGGUCUAGCCUGAGGGUACCUCUUUUUACCUGCGCUCAUAAAGAGUUCAGACGGCGAACGUGAAACUUUCUAAUUACGAUUCAAUCCAGAACAAUACCUUGUAGGUUCACUACGCUUGCUGAUUUUUAAUAUUCAUGCAAAUAAAAAUAAAGUGUUAACACUCUCACAAGAAAUCCGACUAAAUUUGGAAGUAUGCUAUGAUUUUAUUUACCUCACAAACAUACAAAAUAAUGCUGCAUAUCUUUCAGAAAACAAAACAUUGAAGAACGCUACGUACCAGGAAAAGCGUUUUUUUGAUACAGUGUUCUUACCUUAACGUGGCCCGCGGAUAAUUAUUUCAAAGCUGCAUUUCUGAAAUAAUUACCCACGGGCCACCUUAAAUUCAACUGGUUAGUAUUUUUCAUAAAUGAUAUACUGAAACAUAGUUCAGGCAAUAAGAAUGCCCUCGUUUAUCGACAAUCAAAGACCCACUAUGGCGAUCUCAACACAACAACUUUGACCGUGAGUCAAAAACAUAUGUAUCCUUCCAACUGUAACAUGGUUAUACUUCCAUAACUGUAACGUUGUCACGAUUACGAUGUUCUUUGAGGUAACCAAAUGAAUUUGUCACUGCUUCAUCGACAAAGGCAUCCCCGCAACAUCUUUCAUUAAUGUCAAAUUGGCUUUCGAGAAUCCCGUACAUAUGGUUUUCUGUUUAUCACUAGACCUCUUUCUUUUAGAAUACUGGCGCGUAGUCAGUUUCUCGGAAAUGAGCCACCAAUCAUGUACGACGAAUGCAACAUC